rnacentral:ncRNA from 2 species
AACAAAACACAGGGGAGCUCGUGAGGCGGGCUGAGAGGAAGUAACCAAACUUCGACCCUUGACCUGAUGCGGAUAAUGCCGCCGUAGGAAGUCAUAGGAAAAUGAUU